UUUCCAGGGAGGGAUUAAAGAGAGCUGCAGCUUUUAUUAGCAUGCUGUAAAAUGCUCGUAAUGACGUCCUCGGCUUUGAGCUGCCCACUGCGCUUCAUCAUAAGCAUAAAGCCCAGGGCUUGUCUGUAACUAGAUCACUGUGGUUACUCUGGGUGGUUUUUCUGCUCUUCUGGAAAUGAAUUGAUGUCUAAGCGCUGUGUUUGGAGUUCUGUCCUUAAACGGCCCACUUCUUCAUCACGGGCUUCCUGAUAUGUGACAGGUUUUCCCGAACUUCCUCAGCUCUGGCUUUCCUGCUAUGGUGGACUCUAACCCAGAGCUGUGAGCCAAAAAGAACCCUUUCUCUCCGAAGUCACUUUUAUCCAGGUGUUUUACCAUACCGGCAGAACUGUUUCUUGAAGCUGUGCUGGCCUGUCAGGGGGCAUACUUUCCGCUCUAGGAGAGGCAGGCACAGAAGCAGGCCAGUGGUACCACCCACCUCUACCACUCAGCCCCAUUCAGCCGCCAGUCACCCCGGCUGGGAACCCCAGAGGAGGAAACACCUGCUCGCCAUGACUUGAAGCUGCCGUUUGCCCGCCAUCCAAAAUGAGUCAUGAAGGCACUGUGGAGAGGAUUUUACUCAUCCCCCAGGAAUGGACUCUUGGAAGGCUCCAGAAUGACUAGCUUCAAGUGUUCUGUCUCAGGCACAGGGCAUUUUAUCCCUCUCUAUGUCUGCAGUCACUUCCCUUCUGGAUACUUCCUGUUUCUGGGAGCAGGCAGCGCGCCAGGCAGAGCUCAGCCUCCGAGCAGACGGGCGGAGACAUCCUUCCUCUUAUUCCUAGUGUUGGAUCCCGUCUUCCUUCCCUGUCAGAGAUAGCCAUCACAAUUCUGUGCUUUUCCCAGGUCCCUGCAUGCCAGCAGGGCCGAGGACACAGAGGAACAUAUUUCUAUCUGCAGCUCUGACCUUUGGCAGCUGCUUAGCAACCGUUAUCGAUCAUUGGCUUCUUGGGCCUGGGUAAUCAGGGCAAGAUCUGGGGCAAGGGUCCAUUCAUUCAUUGAUUUAAUAAAUAUUUACUGGAUGCCUACUAUGUGCCAAGCCCUGGUCAAGAUGCUGGGCUAUGCAAACAAAGCCUUGACAUCGAUGUCCUCACAGCAAUUAUGUCCCCCCCCCCCCGGGAGGGACAAUGGGCCAUCUAGAUACAAAUGUGAAACAUUAGAGCAUGCAAGAUAGUGGUGAACAGAGAAAACAAAACUGGGAAAGCAAAUAUGAAUUCUGGGUCCAGGAGAAGGUAAAUUAUUAAAUGCCGAAGGGAAUUUUGAGCAGACAUUCGGGGCUGGGUAAGGGAGGCCAAGAGCCUUCUGGGUAAAGGGAAGAGUAGAUGCAAAGGUCUUGAGGUUGGGAAUGUUCAUGUGUGGACAGGGUGAUGACCAAGGGGAAGGGUAGCAAGCUGGAGUAGAGCUGACUGAAGAGGGGAGAGCUUCAGGCACUCAAGCCAGAGCCUUCUACACCGUAGUAGCACGGACCUGGGCUUUUACUCCACAUGACACAGGAAGCCAUUGGCUCUUCAUAGCGAAGGAUAAGAUUUAUGUGUUUAAGGGAAUUCUGGGGAGCUAGAGUGACAGUUACCUGAAGAGAGGAUGUGGAGAAAACCUGGAGACCACUUAGGAGGAGACGCUAGUGUCUAGAGAGCGAUGGUGGCUUGGGCAGACAGUGGUAACUGGGGUGACAGGCAGCAGACUGGAGGGUAAC